rnacentral:rRNA from 1 species
UACGUAGGGGGGCAAGCGUUGUCCGGAAUCAUUGGGCGUAAAGAGCGCGUAGGCGGUCCGGUAAGUCGGUUGUGAAAACUGGGGGGCUCAACCCUCAGAGGCCGACCGAUACUGUCGGGCUAGAGUCCGGAAGAGGCGAGUGGAAUUCCUGGUGUAGCGGUGAAAUGCGCAGAUAUCAGGAGGAACACCAAUGGCGAAGGCAGCUCGCUGGGACGGUACUGACGCUGAGGCGCGAAAGCGUGGGGAGCAAACAGG